rnacentral:rRNA from 1 species
GGUGAACCUGCGGAAGGAUCAUUGUCGAUACCUGUCCAAAACAGAACGACCCGCGAACAUGUAAUUACAAUCACUCGAUGAGGAAACGGGACUAUGGCCUUGAUCCUUUGGUCCCUUGUCGGCGUGCGUUUGUGCCGCUUCGAAUGGAACGCCAUAGAUGUUUUGUUGACAAGUUAACCAACCCCGGCACGGAAUGUGCCAAGGAAAAAGAAAACAAAAGAAGGUUGUCCUGGUUUUCGCCCCGUCCGCGGUGUGCAUGCUGGUUGAGACUCUUUGAAACUAAACGACUCUCGGCAACGGAUAUCUCGGCUCACGCAUCGAUGAAGAACGUAGCAAAAUGCGAUACUUGGUGUGAAUUGCAGAAUCCCGUGAACCAUCGAGUUUUUGAACGCAAGUUGCGCCCGAAGCCAUCCGGCCGAGGGCACGCCUGCCUGGGCGUCACACAUCGCGUCGCUCCCCCAUGCAUAUCAGAUUUGGGAUGCAUGGUGUCGGGGCGGAGAUUGGUCUCCUGUGCAACUGCUGCGGUGGCCCAAACAUGAAUCACCUUCGGUUGACGCACGGCUAGUGGUGGUUGAAUAAGCCCUCGUCUUCCGUCGUGCGUCGUUUGCUGCAAGGAAGGCUCUUGUAUAAAGACCUAAUGCGUUGUCUUGUGAUGACGCUUCGACCGCGACCCAGGUCAGGCGGGACUACCCGUUGAGUUUAAGCAUAUCA